GAGAAGAACACAGGAGCCUAUCAAAAACACAAGCAAAGCAACGACCUUUGUGCCAUUGCAGGAAUCAACAUGAUUGCAGAGCAGUCUUGCUGCUGCAGGACUACACGAGGCUACAACAGGAGACUUUUAAUUUGGUUUAUCAGCAGGUCAUAUGAAUUUCAGCAAAGUGUUCCAGUCUACCUCAUCUUUUUUUUUUUUUUUUUUUUUUUCAUUUUUAGAAAAUAAAUCAGACUUCAUAACAUAGGCAAGAUGUUAUGAGAAACGCCCCUGAGUUCUGGUCUGAAAAUCACCAUGUCUCUGGAAAGGAGAAGGCUGGAGCACCCCUCCUACGAAGAGAGGCUGACGGAGCUGGGCUUGCUCAGCCUGGAGAAGAGAAGGCUCCAGAGAGACCUCACUGUGUUCAGCCAGUACUUAAAGGGAGAUUAUAAACAGGAGGGGAAUGAACUUUUAAAACAGGCCCCUCCAAAGCACAACAUUGAUGCCAAGACCACAAAUGGAAGCCACAAGGAGGAAAAUGAUAAGCAUCUUUGCAUUUCCUGGCACUCAGGCUGCCUCAGCAAGGAAUUCAUUCCCUGCCUGAACUGCUCAGCAAUAUGCACACCGUUUUACAUGUGAGUAAUGUGAGCCAUUUUGAUGCUCAAGUGUCCUGGCCAAAGUCUUGGAGGAGUCGUGGCCACAGAUGCAUAAACAGAGCUUGUAUGUCUUGUCUCUAAAUCAUGCUGACUAAGCACUAUGAGAAGUUUCUUGUCCCUCAUCAGCUCAGGUAGAUUCCUUUGUGCUAAAUCACUAGUAGUAAAAAGUAAAAAACAAUUAGAAUAAUUAACUCCUACAUAACCAUGUCAUGAUGCACUUUGCAAAGAUCUCCAAGAAUCCCUUAUCGCUGUUUUGCAUCUGGCUCAGCUGAAGCACUGGAAAGUGAAAUCAUUCAGCCCCAGGCCUGUCCUUUUCAGUCCUAGGUGUGUCUGAGUUCAGAGGCACUCUAAGGUCACCAUGAACUCUUGGAUCUCAGCUCUCUGCUGUCCAAGGUGCAGGACUGUCCUUAGGCAACACCAGGACACCAAAAACGGAGAGAAAUGGGACUGGAGGAGGAACGUAGCCCACAGAGUGCUUCAGUAUGAUGCCAUCCCCCAACUGAGCUGUUUCUGCAUCUGGCCAUCAAAGCUCUUGUCGUGUGGACGAAAUCUUGAGACACAUUCAAGACGAUUUACUAUUCUGCUCUACAAAUUGGAUAUUUACAGGCCUGGAUUGAACAUCUAUAUUCCUCUACCCAGAAGUAGCACAUAUUGACCCAAUUUCUGUGCUUAAUAGUAUGCUGUAAAUCCAGACCAACUUCACAUAUUUCAGCAGAUUUACUUCAAGGUGACUGAGAUUAGAACAUGACGUAGAGAAAUAUGUUGCUUCAGCCACAACUAUCUUUUCACUUGUUGGUUUAACACCCCUGUGCUGCUUAAUUAGGGGAAUGCUUCAGAUCUGAUCUUAAACAAACCAAUAAACCCAAAGCAAUAA